rnacentral:rRNA from 1 species
CCUACGGGAGGCAGCAGUGGGGAAUAUUGCACAAUGGGGGAAACCCUGAUGCAGCGACGCCGCGUGAGUGAAGAAGUAUUUCGGUAUGUAAAGCUCUAUCAGCAGGGAAGAAAAUGACGGUACCUGAUUAAGAAGCCCCGGCUAACUACGUGCCAGCAGCCGCGGUAAUACGUAGGGGGCAAGCGUUAUCCGGAUUUACUGGGUGUAAAGGGAGCGUAGACGGCAGCACAAGUCUGGAGUGAAAUGCCGGGGCUUAACCCCGGAACUGCUUUGGAAACUGGGAGACUUGAGUGCAGAAGAGGAGAGUGGAACUCCAUGUGUAGCGGUGAAAUGCGUAGAUAUUAGGAGGAACACCAGUGGCGAAGGCGGCUUACUGGACUGUAACUGACGUUGAGGCUCGAAAGCGUGGGGAGCAAACAGGAUUAGAUACCCGAGUAGUC